rnacentral:rRNA from 1 species
AUUGAACGCUGGCGGCAUGCCUUACACAUGCAAGUCGAACGGUAGCGGGCCUUCGGGUGCCGACGAGUGGCGAACGGGUGAGUAAUACAUCGGAACGUGCCCGAUCGUGGGGGAUAACGAGGCGAAAGCUUUGCUAAUACCGCAUACGAUCUACGGAUGAAAGCAGGGGACCGCAAGGCCUUGCGCGGACGGAGCGGCCGAUGGCAGAUUAGGUAGUUGGUGGGAUAAAAGCUUACCAAGCCGACGAUCUGUAGCUGGUCUGAGAGGAUGAUCAGCCACACUGGGACUGAGACACGGCCCAGACUCCUACGGGAGGCAGCAGUGGGGAAUUUUGGACAAUGGGCGCAAGCCUGAUCCAGCCAUGCCGCGUGCAGGAUGAAGGCCUUCGGGUUGUAAACUGCUUUUGUACGGAACGAAAAGCCUUCUUUUAAUACAGGAGGGUCAUGACGGUACCGUAAGAAUAAGCACCGGCUAACUACGU